UUGGCUAUGUGAAACAGAAGCCCAAAAUUAUGUUCUCCUUGCUAUCCAGUGCUUCAUUCACGCUGCAUUAGGACAUUGGAGAACUGCAUUC